rnacentral:rRNA from 1 species
CCCUUAGAUGUUCUGGGCCGCACGCGCGCUACACUGAUGCAUUCAACGAGUCUAAAACCUGGUCUGAUAGGGCUGGGUAAUCUUUUGAAUGUGCAUCGUGAUUGGGAUAGAUGAUUGCAAUUCUUCAUCUUCAACGAGGAAUGCCUAGUAAACGCAAGUCAUCAGCUUGCAUUGAUUACGUCCCUGCCCUUUGUACACACCGCCCGUCGCUCCUACCGAUUGAAUGUUCCGAUGAAUACCAUGGACUGAGAGUAUGAAUGGGUUCGCCUAUUUCUGCUUCUCGGGAAGUGGAGUAAAUCUUAACAUUUAGAGGAGGGAGAAGUCGUAACA